rnacentral:rRNA from 1 species
UACGUAGGGGGCUAGCGUUGUCCGGAAUCAUUGGGCGUAAAGCGCGUGUAGGCGGCCCGAUAAGUCCGCUGUGAAAGUCCAGGGCUCAACCCUGGGAUGCCGGUGGAUACUGUCGGGCUCGAGUCCGGAAGAGGCGAGUGGAAUUCCUGGUGUAGCGGUGAAAGUGACGCAGAUAUCAGGAGGAACACCAAUGGCGAAGGCAGCUCGCUGGGACGUGACUGACGCUGAGACGCGAAAGCGUGGGGAGCAAACAGG